rnacentral:lncRNA from 1 species
ACCAUCAUGCCGCUAAGCGCCAUUUGUUUGAUUUAAUUCCUGAAGCUCUAAGGGGUUCGUGGUGAGCACAUCCUGGACUUGUUAGGUGGCAAAGGCUGUGUUGGACACCACUUAAUUGGCAUUGGGUGUCACUCUUUUAGGAAUUUCUCUUGUUGAGCCGCACUGAUAAUGAUGAUUGGUUUCAGAUGGUAGCUCGAUGACUCCCAACAUAUUUUUUAAAUUGGAUAAAUGACUUUUUG